GCUGAUGUGGCUCAGUUGGUAGAGCGCACCCUUGGUAAGGGUGAGGUCCCCAGUUCGACUCUGGGUAUCAGCACCA
rnacentral:tRNA from 2 species